ensembl:lncRNA novel transcript, antisense to MSANTD4
GGGGGCCUUAGAAUUUUAAUCCUGGUUUGCAGCAGUCUUUCAUAUCAAAAGUGAUAGUAUUUUAGUAGCACACUUGAAGUAAACUGGAAAAUAUUUAGAGGCAUCUAUAUAGGACUUGGUGGAAAUAGUUAACUCCAUUUUCUCUAUAUUACAUAAUGGUAAUAAGAAAUAAAAAUAAAAAUUACUAUUGAAUAAAUUUGUUCAUAACUUCCAAAUAAAAUAUUUUCCAAACAACUUUAUUGAGAAACUUAAGCUUGUUUCUGUAGCCAUAACUUUUUUGAAAUCAGAUUGUAUACUUAAAUGACUACCCACGAUUCAAGACAAAAAAGAGAUAAUCUCUUGAAAUUCUUGAUAGAUGACAUCAAUCAGAAAUACUAUCUGCACAAGUAGGAUAUAAACAUUUAAGUCAUUUUUACAGCCAUUUUAAAUUAUACAACAGCUGAAAUUAUAUUUAAAGGAUAUAGUACAGCUUACUUUUUGUUGAUGAAUGUACUAUUAAAAAUCCUUGGCAAAAUGUGAAUGGAUUUGAAUCCCAUCAAAUUUUUUCAUACCAAGUAUUUUAAAAUAAUGAUACUCUAUUUUGGAGAAGACACAUGCUGCAUUGGAGCAGUCACUCUGAAGCUGGCAUGAAUGCCAUUAAAAAGCACAUGCACCACAAAGGUUCAGAGGACUGAUACAUGAGGACAGAGAUUCUUUGCUGCUGCUGAGGUAUGCUUUGUAGAGCUGCCCUCUCCCAUUCCCAUUUGCCACCCACAUAUACCAUGGCAAGACCUUGGGCUGGGUGCAGUGAUCCUUGGGCAUCUCCUCCAGCAGCUUCUCAGGCUUCUUGUCCACAGUGGGCAGUGAGAUUCUCUGCAGCUAGCUACUGAAUAGAUAAUCAAUGGGUGGCUGAUUAGCUCAGUUGGUUACAGCAUGGUGCUAGUAACGCUGAGUAGAUAUUCAAACCUCCUUGGUCUCAUUCCUACCACUUGGCAGAGCAGCAGGUGCCAGGUGAAUCAGAAGAAACUAUGGGACUUACCUUUACGUCAUGUCCCUGACAAGGCAUCUUCUAGUUUGAAGACUUUCAUUGCCAUUUCUAGGGCUGAAGCACAUUUGGAAUCUAUUCAUAAACACCUAUUAGGAAGCACUGCCAUGAAAGUGCAAAUUGCAAAAUUCCCACUUCCGGCCUAUUGUUGGUAACAAUGUGGUGAAUAUGUUGUAUAGUCAGGCAACCCAUCUGUACCUCUCUUAGCUUUCACUCCCGAUUUCAUGUUACUUUCUUCAGGCAGGAGGCUGCUGAGAUCUGUGAGUGAUUGGGUGUGGUAAGACUUCUGCCUCCAUUGGGGUUCCUUUAGAAAAAACAGGGUGGUCCACUGGAGAACAGCUAGAAUCCCAGGAGUGAUUCCAGAAGGUAGGAAAUCCCAAGAAGAGCUUGGACUUUGGGGUUCUGUGAACUGGAAGGAGAAAUUUACCAGUAACCUUAUGAAUGUGUUAGAUGGCAGUGACUCCAAAAGAUAGAGUAUAACCUGAACAGGUGGCCUGAGUCUUUCCAAACUUGAAGCCGGGAAAGUCCAGGGCAGCAGCAUCUUCCAGGUGAUUUGGGCAGGACUGACAGCCUAUCCUUAUCACACAGAACCCCUUUUAAGUAUUCCUGCAUUAGGAAUAUAUUAGCAGCAGACAGGUACAGCAGCUCACACCUGUAAUCCCAGCACUUUGGGAGGCUCAGAAGGGAAGAUCACUUGAGACAAGGAGAUCAAGACCAGCCUAAGCAAGAUAGCAAGACUUUGUCUCUAUAUAACAAAACUUUAAAAAUUAGCCAGAUGUAGUGAUGCAUGCCUGUAGUCCCAGCUAUUUUGAAGGCUGAAGAGGGAAGAUUGUGCCCAGGAAGUCAAGGCUGCAGUGAGCGAAGAUCACACCACUGCACUCCAGCCUGGACAACAGAAUGAGACCCUGUCCCUUUAAAAAAAGGAGGAGCAGGAGAAGGAGAAGGAGGAGGAGGAGGAGAAGCAGAAGCAGAAGAAGAGGAGGAGGGGGAAGGGGAAGAGGAAAAGGAAGGGGAAGAGGAGGAGGAAGGUGAGGAGGAAGAAGGAGAAGAAGAAGACAACAAGAGGAAGAGGAAGAGGAAGGAGGAGGAGAAGAAGGAGGAGGAGGAGGAGGAGAAGGAGAAGAAAUAAAACUAGAAACAAGGUCAGAGCGUCACUGAAUCAUCAGAGAAAAAAACAACUGCCUAUCUGAGGAGUUCCAGAAGGCAGAGAAUCAGAUUGAACAAUCAUAACACGUCUUGUCAAAUAGAACUACUGGAGGAGAAAAAGAAACACAUGUAUUUCUUAAAGUUUUUUUUUAAAAAAAUGUUGAGAUCCAAGUGAAAUAAAAUAUUGUUAGAUGGAAGCUACUUAACUCAUUUAUUCAAUAAAUGAGUUAAUAAUGUAUGAUGGGCCAGGCACUCUUUUCAGCGCUUGAGAUAAAGCAAUGAACAACACAAUUAAAGAUCCUUAUUUUUGUGAAGCUUAUAGUAUAGCAAGAGAAGACAGACAAUACAUGGUAAUAUAAUACAUAAGUAAAUUACGUGACACAUUAGAAUUGACAAUGUUCUGGAAUAAAAAGAAGAGCAAGAUAAAAGGGAUUGGGACUGGUGGGGAGAGGGACAGUUUGAAAUAUUAAAUAGAGUGGUCAAAAUCAGCCUCAUUGAGAGGGUGACAUUUUAACAAAGACUUGAAAGAAGUGUAGAAGUAAAUCAUACAGAUACAUGAGAGAAAGUGUCUUGCAGGCAGAGUGAAUGGUUAGUGCCAACACCUAAGGACAGGGCAUGUCCAACAUGUCCAAGGAGUGAGAAAGACACCAGAGGGGCUGCCUUGUUGUGAGGGGAAAGAAUAGUAAGAUACGAAGUCAGAAACGAGGUGGGGGACCGGAUCACACAUGAUUGCAUACAUUUUUAAACCAUUUUUAUGAUGAAAAUUUCCAUAAAAAGUUAUGAGAAAUGAGAGAAGUGAAUAUACAUAGUAUUUUGGAAACAGAUAGUUAAUAUACCUAAUAUACUUUUCUAAAUAAUUAAAAUUAUAAAUUGAAAGGAAAAAUUAUAGUCAAUUUAUACAUGCAAAUAUGCUCAGCAUCACUAAUUAUCAAAGAAAUGCAGUUGACACCAAAAUGAGAUACAUAUAAGAUUUUCAGUACUAGCAAGGAUGAAAAUAAGUUUCUAACACUAUUGUUGGGAGUUCCAUAUUUGCAUGUAACUUGACGAUAUAAAUUAAAAGUUAAAAUACAUAUACUCUACGAUCCAGAAAUACCACUUCUAGAAAUUUAACCAACUGUUCAUAUUUCCAAGGCUGUAGAUAUGUAUAUAUAUAAUUUUAUAAACAUAGCUUUGCUAUUUCAAUGUUCAUUUUACACUAGCUCUACUGUAAAGUAUCAAUCCUCCUAAUCAUCAUCAUGUAAAUGUCCAGCCAUAGGAAAAGAGCUUAAUUCUGUAAUUAAUAUUCAUAAAAUUGAAUUGUACAGUCAUUAAAAAUAAUGAGGUACAUAUCUACAUGUACUGACCUGGAAAGAUGUCCACAAUAUCCUUCUUUUACAGAUGAGAAAACUAAAGCUCAAAGAGGUUAAGUAACAUACACAAGGCCACUCUAAUAGAAAACAAUGGCUCUGGGAUCUAAGCUGAGUUCUUACUCCAUGGUUUAUACACUUGUCUCUAGUAUGCACUGCCUUAAAUUAAAAAAUAAAAAGUCUUAGACGAGAUCAAGCUCCUUUAAUAAGUAUAACAUAUUCAUUACAUAAAUCAUCUGUGCUAGGCACUGUGC